rnacentral:lncRNA from 1 species
GGACACUGGAAUGUUUGAGAAGCUCAGUGGUAAUGGUCCUCUAUUAUAGAACUAGGCUCCAGAAAGGCAGAAGCCUGUUGGAAAUUCCUAACCAGCAGAGGCCAGGUGGCUGUAAUUAACAUCACAACAUCAAGACCAGAGAGGUUCACACACCUAAUUCCCAUUUUUCUGAAACCAGUGGUGGUUAUUAAUGACUAUGAGUACAGCAACAAGUCCCUUAGAGAGGAUGGAAAUAUUAUACCCAGGAAUUCAGUGAUGUGAUGAAAUGAACACAAACAUGUUGGUGUACAAGGAUGGAUUCAUGGCAUGGAUUUCAGCAGGCUUGUCUGGGGCCUGACAUGCUGCCUCACCUUCUCUCCAGGUGUGUUUUUCAAACACUAAUAUCCAUCAGCAACACCCACAUCAGCUAGAGGUAAUACCCAUAACAGGUCCAAUGUAGAUCCUGAAAACCUUACUUGGCUGAGAACAUUUGGAGAAACCCAGUGUUUUUCAUCCCACACUGGUCAUCGUCCCUGGAGGAAAACUGACAUCAAGAGAGAGGUCAUGGGGAAGAGGUGUGACUUUUGCCACCAACACAUUCUUCUCCAAAGCUCUGCAAAACUACUCACUUGGGGAAAUCUCAAUAACCCGGUGACCAUUCUGGAGACAAACAAAUUCUACAAAUGUGUUGCUAAGGAAUUGGAUUGGCAGAAUACAAAUUCAUGAAGGGGCCUCCUAAACCUGUAUCUACUCCCUGAUUGUGGCAAUGAGAAUAAAGCCAAAAGGACAGAUACUGACAUUAAGGACGCCUCAAAACUUCUCAGUGAAUCAUGAAAAGGGAAGAAACAUAGCUUGGGUAAUUG